rnacentral:rRNA from 1 species
AGGACGAACGCUGGCGGCGUGCUUAACACAUGCAAGUCGAGCGAGGCCCUUCCUUCGGGAAGGUGCCCUAGCGGCGAACGGGUGAGUAACACGUGGGCAACCUGCCCCUAGCACUGGGAUAACUCCGGGAAACCGGGCUAAUACCGGAUAUGACCUUUGAGGGCAUCCUCGAAGGUGUAAAGGAUUCUGGCUAGGGAUGGGCCCGCGGCCUAUCAGCUUGUUGGUGGGGUAACGGCCUACCAAGGCGACGACGGGUA